AUUGAACGCUGGCGGCAUGCCUUACACAUGCAAGUCGAACGGCAGCACGGGUGCUUGCACCUGGUGGCGAGUGGCGAACGGGUGAGUAAUACAUCGGAACGUACCUUAUCGUGGGGGAUAACGCAGCGAAAGCUGUGCUAAUACCGCAUACGCCCUGAGGGGGAAAGCGGGGGAUCGCAAGACCUCGCGCGAUUAGAGCGGCCGAUGCCUGAUUAGCUUGUUGGUGGGGUAAAAGCCCACCAAGGCGACGAUCAGUAGCUGGUCUGAGAGGACGAUCAGCCACUGGGACUGAGACACGGCCCAGACUCCUACGGGAGGCAGCAGUGGGGAAUUUUGGACAAUGGGGGCAACCCUGAUCCAGCAAUGCCGCGUGAGUGAAGAAGGCCUUCGGGUUGUAAAGCUCUUUUGUCAGGGAAGAAACACCGGCUCUAACACAGUCCGGGAAUGACGGUACCUGAAGAAUAAGCACCGGCUAACUACGUGCCAGCCGCCGCAGUAA
rnacentral:rRNA from 1 species